GGAAUCAACGCUGGCGGCGUGCCUAACACAUGCAAGUCGCACGAGAAAGGGGAGCAAUCCCUGAGUAAAGUGGCGCACGGGUGAGUAACACGUGAAUGAUCUACCUCCGAGUGGGGAAUAACUGAGAGAAAUCUGGGCUAAUACCGCAUAAUACCUUCGGGUCAAAGGAGCAAUUCGCUUAAGGAGGGGGUCGCGGCCGAUUAGUUAGUUGGCGGGGUAAUGGCCCACCAAGACUGUGAUCGGUA
rnacentral:rRNA from 1 species